UGGGGAAUUUUGCACAAUGGGGGAAACCCUGAUGCAGCGACGCCGCGUGAUUUAGAAGGCCUUCGGGUUGUAAAAAUCUUUUCUAUGGGAAGAAAAUGACAGUACCAUAGGAAUAAGGAUCGGCUAAAUACGUGCCAGCAGCCGCGGUAAUACGUAAGGUCCGAGCGUUGUCCGGAAUCAUUGGGCGUAAAGGGUACGUAGGCGGGUAAGCAAGUUAGAAGUGAAAUCCUAUAGCUCAACUAUAGUAAGCUUUUAAAACUGCUCAUCUUGAGGUAUGGAAGGGAAAGUGGAAUUCCUAGUGUAGCGGUGAAAUGCGCAGAUAUUAGGAGGAAUACCGGUGGCGAAGGCGACUUUCUGGCCAUAACCUGACGCUGAGGUACGAAAGCGUGGGUAGCAAACAGG
rnacentral:rRNA from 1 species